CCUACCGCUUAUUCGCCAGAGAAACUACAAGCCAGAGCUUAAAACUCAAAGGACUUGGCGGUGCUUUAUACCCGCCUAGAGGAGCCUGUUCUAUAAUCGAUAAACCCCGAUAAACCUUACCACUCUUUGCCAACUCAGCCUAUAUACCGCCAUCUUCAGCAAACAA
rnacentral:rRNA from 1 species